CAUAGUGAAAUGGCUGACAAUCAUUCGAAUCAGAUAAAUAGAAACUAUAACUAAUGUUUCAGUUACAUUCAAAAGGUUAAAAAAAAAUGUCUAAAGAAGGAUAUGCCAGAAAACCAGAUAAAUUAUGCAGUUCAAACAUGUUCGAAGUUGAUGAAAAAGAGAUCCACGUAUUCGGAAAUGAAUGGCGCGUUCGAAUUGCGAGUGUAACUGCGUCGAGGACAAAAUGAAAGACGCUUCCGUGAUAAUUUCCGAUCGUGACGUUUCGCAUCGUCAAAACUGCAAUAGCGUACUUUAUUAUCGUGGAAUCAACACGGGUCACUCGGUUGAAAAUUCUCCAACAUAUGUGUCCAGAGAAAAAAGAGAUAAGCGAAAAUAUAUAGCAAUGGAAAUUCGAACAAGAGACGAAUCAGUAUCACAGAACGUUGCAUUUUUGACUUUAAUACAUCGA